AACGAACGCUGGCGGCAUGCCUUACACAUGCAAGUCGAACGGUAACGCGGGGCAACCUGGCGACGAGUGGCGAACGGGUGAGUAAUAAAUCGGAACGUGCCCAGAAGUGGGGGAUAGCCCGGCGAAAGCCGGAUUAAUACCGCAUACGACCUACGGGAGAAAGAGGGGGAUCGCAAGACCUCGCGCUAUGGGAGCGGCCGAUGUCAGAUUAGGUAGUUGGUGGGGUAAAGGCCUACCAGGCCGACGAUCUGGAGCUGGUCUGAGAGGACGACCAGCCACACUGGGACUGAGACACGGCCCAGACUCCUACGGGAGGCAGCAGUGGGGAAUUUUGGACAAUGGGCGCAAGCCUGAUCCAGCCAUGCCGCGUGCGGGAAGAAGGCCUUCGGGUUGUAAACCGCUUUUGUCAGGGAAGAAACGCGCUGGGUUAAUACCUCGGCGUAAUGACGGUACCUGAAGAAUAAGCACCGGCUAACUACGUGCCAGCAGCCGCCGUAA
rnacentral:rRNA from 1 species